GCGGACGUGGCGGAAUCGGUAGACGCGCUAGCUUGAGGGGCUAGUGAUUAUUGCAAUCGUGGAAGUUCAAGUCUUCUCGUCCGCACCA
rnacentral:tRNA from 1 species